rnacentral:rRNA from 1 species
GACAGAGGAUGCAAGCGUUAUCCGGAAUGAUUGGGCGUAAAGCGUCUGUAGGUGGCUUUUCAAGUCCGCCGUCAAAUCCCAGGGCUCAACCCUGGACAGGCGGUGGAAACUACCAAGCUGGAGUACGGUAGGGGCAGAGGGAAUUUCCGGUGGAGCGGUGAAAUGCAUUGAGAUCGGAAAGAACACCAACGGCGAAGGCAGCACUCUGGGCUGGUACUGACGCUGAGGAGCGAAAGCGUGGGGAGCAAACAGG